rnacentral:rRNA from 1 species
GGGUCAGUAGGUUGGUCGUGCCACCGGUACGUACUGGUCUCACUGAUUCCUCCUUCCUGAAGAACCGUAAUGUAAUUAAUUUGGUGUUGCGGGGAAACAGGACUGUUACUUUGAAAAUAUUAGAGUGUUUAAAGCAAGCUAACGCUUGAAUACAUUAGCAUGGAAUAAUGAAAUAGGACGAUCGAUCCUAUUUUGUUGGUUUCUAGGAUUGACGUA